GAUUAAUGCUGGUGGUAUGCAUAACACAUGCAAGUCGAACGAGUAGAACUUGUUCUGCUAGUGGCAAACGGGCGAGUAAUACAUAUUUAACUUACUUCCGCGAGUAGGAUAGCAGCCCGAAAGGGCUAUUAAUACUACAUAGGUUUAUGGACUUGUAAAUUAAAGGAGGCGCCCUCGGGAGCCUCGCGCGGAAACGGGAAUAUGUCCUAUUAGGUAGUUGGCGGGGUAAAGGCCCACCAAGCCAAUGAUGGGUAGCUGGACUGAGAGGUUGAACAGCCGCAAUGGGAUUGAGAUAUGGCCCAUAUUCCUACGGGAAGCAGCAGUGAGGAAUUUUUCACAAUGGACGAAAGUCUGAUGGAGCAAUACCACGUGAACGAUGAAGGUCUUCUGAUUGUAAAGUUCUUUUAUUUAGGAAAAAAAGCGCGCUAGGAAAUGAGCGCGCCUUGAUGGUACUAAUUGAAUAAGUGACAGCUAACUAUGUGCCAGCAGCUGCGGUAAAACAUAGGUCACAAGCAUUAUCCGGAUUUAUUGGGCGUAAAGGAAGCGUAGGCGGGGAGGUUGAUCCAUUGUUAAAGGCAUUUGCUCAACAAAUGUGUGCGAUGGAGAUCGCCUCCCUAGAGUUAAUCAGGGGGUACUGGAAUUCAAUGUGUAGCGGUGGAAUGCGUAGAUAUAUUGAGGAACACCAGAGGCUAAGGCGAGUACCUAGGAUUAAACUGACGCUGAGGCUUGAAAGCGUGGGGAGCAAAUGGGAUUAGAUACCCCAGUAGUCCACGCCGUAAACGAUGAGCAUUAGGUAUUUGAUGUUAUGUCGAGUGCUGUAGCUAACGCGUUAAAUGCUCCGCCUGGGUAGUAUAUAUGCAAAUAUGAAACUCAAAGAAAUUGACGGGGACCUGAACAAGUGGUGGAGCAUGUUGCUUAAUUCGAUAAUACACGAAAAACCUUACCAAGGCUUGUUAUCUACUGCAAAACUAUAGAAAUAUAGUGGAGGUUAUCAGUAAGACAGGUGGUGCAUGGCUGUCGUCAGCUCGUGUCUUGAGAUGUUUGGUUAAGUCCCGUAACGAGCGCAACCCUACUCUCUAGUUAAUUAGUUCUAGAGUGACUGAAUCCUUAAGAUAUUGGGAAGGAUGGCGGCAAGUCAAGUCAUCAUGCCCCUUAUGCCUUGGGGCUGC
rnacentral:rRNA from 1 species